GACUGGUCGUGUUUUGAACAAAUUCGGACAAAUAACAACACAUCGAUCAUGGCAAGAAGAUACAAUCCCUCCCGAAUUGGAUUAAGUAGAGGAGAUGCAAUGCCAGCCGAGCCAUAUUAUCCAAACGUUCCAACAGCACCAAAUAUGCCAGCAGAGGAUUACAACCGCGCUUUGAUGCCACGCUGUAGUAAAACGGGAGAGGACAUAAGUAAUUUUCAUAAACAUUUAAUAGGCAAAUUAGAUAAAUUAAACUCAGUUAGAGCCACUAAACACAAGAAACAUCUUUGGUACAACAGGAGAUAUGCUGGAUUUUGUGCGGCGUUUGCAUUUGGAGUCUAUCUUUACACAAUGCAUGCAAUGAAACAGGAAGAAUUCUUGGAGAAACUGGAUAUUAAUGUGACAAAAACAGACAUAAAUAUUGCCAAGGGACAACCUAUAGCCUAGAGGACCCUAAUCACCCUGUUAUCAAAAUACUGAUGUUAAUAUCAAUUCAUGUGUGUUGUAAAAACAAAGCAUUUUCCUGAGAGAAAAGUGCAUGUGCAUGUAACAAAUAUGACUUAAUUUAUAUU